rnacentral:rRNA from 1 species
CCAGACUCCUACGGGAGGCAGCAGUGAGGAAUAUUGGUCAAUGGACGCAAGUCUGAACCAGCCAUGCCGCGUGCAGGAAGACGGCUCUAUGAGUUGUAAACUGCUUUUGUACGAGGGUAAAUCCCGAUACGUGUAUCGGGUUGAAAGUAUCGUACGAAUAAGGAUCGGCUAACUCCGUGCCAGCAGCCGCGGUAAUACGGAGGAUUCAAGCGUUAUCCGGAUUUAUUGGGUUUAAAGGGUGCGUAGGCGGUUCGAUAAGUUAGAGGUGAAAUCCCGGGGCUCAACUCCGGCACUGCCUCUGAUACUGUCGGGCUAGAGUUUAGUUGCGGUAGGCGGAAUGUAUGGUGUAGCGGUGAAAUGCAUAGAGAUCAUACAGAACACCGAUUGCGAAGGCAGCGUACCGGCUCCACACUGACGCUGAGGCACGAAAGCGUGGGUAUCGAACAGGAUUAGAUACCCCUGUA